rnacentral:rRNA from 1 species
GACGAACCGAGCGAACGUUGUUCGGAAUCACUGGGCUUAAAGGGCGCGUAGGCGGGCUGCCGCGUCCGGGGUGAAAUCCUCCGGCUCAACCGGGGAACGGCCUCGGAUACGGGCGGCCUCGAGGGGGGUAGGGGCAUGCGGAACUGUGAGUGGAGCGGUGAAAUGCGUUGAUAUUCACAGGAACUCCGGUGGCGAAGGCGGCGUGCUGGACCCCAUCUGACGCUGAGGCGCGAAAGCCAGGGGAGCAAACGGG